rnacentral:rRNA from 1 species
CAGCACCUCAAGUGGUCAGGAUGAUUAUUGGGCCUAAAGCAUCCGUAGCCGGCUCUGUAAGUUUUCGGUUAAAUCUGUAUGCGCAACAUACAGGCUGCCGGGAAUACUGCAGAGCUAGGGAGUGGGAGAGGUAGACGGUACUCGGUAGGAAGGGGUAAAAUCCUUUGAUCUAUUGAUGACCACCUGUGGCGAAGGCGGUCUACCAGAACACGUCCGACGGUGAGGGAUGAAAGCUGGGGGAGCAAACCGGAUUAGAUACCCGAGUAGUCC